ACAGUCACAGCGCUCUCAUGAGCAUGGAAUCAAGCACAUACAGAUAAGCUCCAAGGCCGCAAACCUUUAAAGAAACGGACGCCAUCAGAGGAAUACUGUAACUUAAGUGUGAUGGCAGACCAGUCCAAUGUUACUCACAAGAAAUAAUUAUGCUAAUAAUUAUGGAUACUGGAGAACUGGUGCUCUUUGCUCCACAUCACAAAAAGAUGGAAACAGUUGUGGGACUUUUGUGCAACUGGUGAAUGCUCUUACCCUGAAUAGGAGUAUCCAUCCCAGACAACUGAUACAACACCAUGAUGUGGCAAUGAGGAUGUUCAUGUACAACAAAAUUGAGCAAAAUGCAAGCACUCCAGUUGUAAUGUUCAAUUCCAGUGUUUGUGUGUGUAAAUACAUGUACUCAAAUUUAUUGUCUUUUGUAGUUACAUGCAUGACAACCUGUAAUUUGUAACCAAAAAAAAUCAUACCUUUUAGCCAACAGACUUGCUUUAAAGUGUAAAAAAAAAAAAAAAAAAAAAAACAGACUCUUUAAAACCUAUUUACUUCAAAAUGCCUUUAUAGAACUCAAUAAAAGAUUUGUCAACUAAAUGACAAAAAAAUAUUUUGUCAAA